UACGAAGGGUGCAAGCGUUAAUCGGAAUUACUGGGCGUAAAGGGUGCGUAGGCGGUUCGUUAAGUCUGUUGUGAAAUCCCCGGGCUCAACCUGGGAAUGGCAAUGGAUACUGGCUGGCUAGAGUGUGGCAGAGGAUGGUGGAAUUCCCGGUGUAGCGGUGAAAUGCGUAGAGAUCGGGAGGAACAUCAGUGGCGAAGGCGGCCAUCUGGACCAGCACUGACACUGAGGCACGAAAGCUUGGGGAGCAAACAGG
rnacentral:rRNA from 1 species